GAUGAACGCUAGCUACAGGCUUAACACAUGCAAGUCGAGGGGAAACGGCAUUGAGUGCUUGCACUCUUUGGACGUCGACCGGCGCACGGGUGAGUAACGCGUAUCCAACCUUCCCAUUACUGUGGGAUAACCUGCCGAAAGGCAGACUAAUACCGCAUAGUCUUCGAUGACGGCAUCAGAUUUGAAGUAAAGAUUUAUCGGUAAUGGAUGGGGAUGCGUCUGAUUAGCUUGUUGGCGGGGUAACGGCCCACCAAGGCUACGAUCAGUAGGGGUUCUGAGAGGAAGGUCCCCCACAUUGGAACUGAGACACGGUCCAAACUCCUACGGGAGGCAGCAGUGGGGAAUAUUGGUCAAUGGACGGAAGUCUGAACCAGCCAAGUAGCGUGCAGGAUGACGGCCCUAUGGGUUGUAAACUGCUUUUGUAUGGGGAUAAAGUUAGGGACGUGUCCCUAUUUGCAGGUACCAUACGAAUAAGGACCGGCUAAUUCCGUG
rnacentral:rRNA from 1 species